UACGUAGGGCGCAAGCGUUAAUCGGAAUUACUGGGCGUAAAGCGUGCGCAGGCGGCUUUGCAAGACAGAUGUGAAAUCCCCGGGCUCAACCUGGGAACUGCAUUUGUGACUGCAAGGCUAGAGUACGGUAGAGGGGGAUGGAACUCCGCGUGUAGCAGUGAAAUGCGUAGAUAUGCGGAGGAACACCGAUGGCGAAGGCAAUCCCCUGGACCUGUACUGACGCUCAUGCACGAAAGCGUGGGGAGCAAACAGG
rnacentral:rRNA from 1 species